AGAGUUUGAUCAUGGCUCAGAUUGAACGCUGGCGGCAUGCUUUACACAUGCAAGUCGAACGGGCUGUUGGGGCAACCUGGCAGUCAGUGGCGGACGGGUGAGUAAUGCAUCGGAACGUGUCCCAUAGUGGGGGAUAACCCGGCGAAAGCCGGACUAAUACCGCAUAAGCUCUAUGGAGGAAAGCGGGGGACCUGAAAGGGCCUCGCGCUUUGGGAGCGGCCGAUGUCCGAUUAGCUUGUUGGUGGGGUAAUGGCCUACCAAGGCGACGAUCGGUAGCUGGUCUGAGAGGAUGAUCAGCCACACUGGGACUGAGACACGGCCCAGACUCCUACGGGAGGCAGCAGUGGGGAAUUUUGGACAAUGGGGGCAACCCUGAUCCAGCCAUGCCGCGUGCGGGAAGAAGGCCUUCGGGUUGUAAACCGCUUUUAGUCGGGAAGAAAAGGCACGGGUGAAUACCCCGUGUUCUUGACGGUACCGGCGGAAUAAGCACCGGCUAACUACGUGCCAGCAGCCGCGGUAAUACGUAGGGUGCGAGCGUUAAUCGGAAUUACUGGGCGUAAAGCGUGCGUAGGCGGUUUGCCGUGUCCUGUGUGAAAGCCCCGGGCUCAACCUGGGAAUUGCAUGGGAAACUGGCAGGCUUGAGUGUGGCAGAGGAGGGUGGAAUUCCGCGUGUAGCAGUGAAAUGCGUAGAGAUGCGGAG
rnacentral:rRNA from 1 species